rnacentral:rRNA from 1 species
UACGGAGGGGACUAGCGUUGUUCGGAAUUACUGGGCGUAAAGCGCACGUAGGCGGAUUGUUUAGUCAGGGGUGAAAUCCCGAGGCUCAACCUCGGAACUGCCUUUGAUACUGGCAAUCUCGAGUCCGGAAGAGGUGAGUGGAAUUCCUAGUGUAGAGGUGAAAUUCGUAGAUAUUAGGAAGAACACCAGUGGCGAAGGCGGCUCACUGGCCCGGUACUGACGCUGAGGUGCGAAAGCGUGGGGAGCAAACAGG